GCUAAUGAGGGAAAUUGAUCAAGAUGAAGUUUCUCACAUCCGGGAAUUUUUCUUGUAUCUUUUCCGCUUUGCAUUUCUCAUUACACCCAUACAACGUUGGGGUGCCGGGCGUGUCGGCGUCGCACGCACAUAUGUAUCGCCUGAUAUAUUAUUUCAUGUUCGCUCGUGCCAACGAUACAUUCGCGCUUAUCGCGUUGAAGCCAUUCGUUUACAUACGAUACGACAAAAUUAUAAAAAGCAAAUUUUAUUCCAAUAGUCUAUUCAUCUGAGCGUCACGUUCGUUCAAGAAUGAAGUAGCACAGAUUCGAUGGAGGAUACAGUUCUGAUUUGUCGACUAAAUUGUGCGCAAUGUGAUCUGCUACACUUGCUUUAUGCAAUGCCAUCGUAAUUGGUCACUAUAAUCCGAGAAGGCUUCCUGGAAUUUGUAUAGAACUACUGGCUUCUCAAGAAACGAAUCUCCCGGAUGGCGCGUUGGCAGAACGUGAUUUUUCUGUCGUUAUUUAUUUGUCACGUACUGACAUGCUAUGUGUCAUUCAUUGUUAAUCAUUGUUAACGUCGUCAUUGUUAACUUUAAAGAAAUACAUUAAAUUACGAGGAGCAAUAAAUAUUCUGAGUAUAAUCUGUAGCCAAUUGACUGACUGAUUGCAUAUAAACAGGUAUUUUAAAACAAGAAUAUAUAAUUUUCAAAGAUUUUUACCAUUAAAAUAUAUUGUUGCAUGUAUGCGAAUAUAAUAAUCGUGAAUUAUGGUUUAUUUAGCGUAUAAUGGAGUUAUUUUUAAUUUAUCUUGACGAGAAUAAUAUCUACAUUAUGAAAAUGAUGCACGCACGUGGGCAUAAUAGUACUUGUGACGUUGCCUAAAAUAUUUCUCGACUUUUAAUUACAUCAUACAAGCAACAUCUCAAUAUAUAUAGCUUCACAAAAAUGCUUAGCUUAAUCAAUACCUGCAAUAGUUUUGCAAUAAGAGAUAAAACAGGUUACUCAAAAGAUGAUACGUAUUUUCUUCUGAAAUGAUGUAGAUUAUUGAAACCACACUUGAUAGCAUGUCUAAAUAGUAAAUACCGAUAAAAGAAUAUUUCUUAAAUGUAUAUUCUUAUUUCCUCGAACCCAUUGAACCAAUCUAGCCAAAAUCUUAUGUUUCACAUUAAUUAUCGAGCAUAAUUUGAGAAAAUGUUAUCUUAUUUUUAGAUAAAGCCCUUAUUAAACUCGUAAACUCGAUUAUAUCACUACUUCAGGUACAAACCGACAAACAACACUAAUAAACAUGCAUACAUAUUCGAUCGUUUGGAAGCCUGAUAGAAGACGGAAUAAAUAAGUGAAUGCAUAAUGCGAGUGACCCUUGAUUACUGAUCUUUCACCUAUCCUAACCAGGUGUAAAUUAUUCAUUAGACUCCUCCAAAAUGAAUCUGUGGAUUCACCAAGACGUCGACUUCCUUUGUUUCAAAGUUUCUUGUUGUGUAAUGCUUUCGUACAAUUGUAUAAUAAUCUUGUACUAGAGGACGUCGCUUUUCCGUAAAGCGACCAGUAAAGGAUCACAGUAACGAAUCGAAGCAGUUUGAAAAAUGGAGGAAAUUAUCACGAGUGGGAGAUAGUGACCGUCGCAGUACACAGAUGUACUUCGCGUCCAGAUGUACGUCGUGAUACGCACGCAUUACAUGCAUACACGCGCACACCGUGUGUGGGUCCACCUGAGUGAGCAGACGAGUGAGUGAGCACGGAGGAGAAGGUGUCUCACAUGGGUGCCUCUGUUCCCUGCAACACGAGUCCCACAGAUGGGGGAGACAUCCGGGCAGCUGACGUUCAAAUGAAACUGACUGACUGACUUCGGCUUAACCGACUCCACAUCCUCCUUCGAUUAAGGAGAACUACGUCCGGAGAGUCUGGAGAACGCGGGACGGGGGAUUUGUGCGCCAUCAAAUUAUUUCGUCGAUAUAUGCCCGACUAGGACUACUCUCCACCUUCAACAUACUUAAGUAUGCGGCUACGAUUCGCUUGCUAAAAUUACGAGUCAAUUGGAUAGAGGAUAUCUAAAUGCAUUCUAUGUCGUGGAUACAGUGUUCUGUUUUAAUUCAUGAUGAUUAUGAUCAAACUUCAGUUUUUGAGCAGACGAGAGCACAUGAUAAUCGAGUUGCUGAGUGAUGAAAGAUCAUCUUGCAUUUAUAUUUUCCCUGACGCUAGAAAUCCGAGCGAAUGUUUGUAAUACGAGAUGCUUCGCAGGUUGGCACUUGUGCGGUUGCUAUCGUCCAAUUAAUCACAACCAUGAUACAUGUGGAAACUAAAAUAUAUUGUAAGAGAUUUCAUACGUACUCGUAAGCAAUCUGUAAUAAAACGGAAUUAGGUGUA
rnacentral:lncRNA from 1 species